UACGUAGGCAGCGAGCGUUGUUCGGAAUUACUGGGUGUAAAGAGUGUGUAGGCGGUGCUCUAAGUUCGGUGUGAAAUCUCCUGCUUAACUGGGAGGGUGCGCCGGAAACUGGAGUGCUUGAGUGUGGGAGAGGAAAGCGGAAUUCCUGGUGUAGCGGUGAAAUGCGUAGAUAUCAGGAGGAACACCUGUGGUGUAGACGGCUUUCUGGACCAUUGCUGACGCUGAGACACGAAAGCGUGGGUAGCAAACAGG
rnacentral:rRNA from 1 species